UUUGUUUUAAUUGAUAUCUCUUCUUGAGAUUUAAUAGCCAAGGCUUUUAAAAAGGAAAUGUUGCUACCUUAUACAAGAUGAUCCAUAGGCAAUAGUGUUCCCUUCUUCAUCUCUGUAUCAACAUACAUCAAUUUACUUCACGUUCUCCUCCUCCUUCCAAGAUCAAAUAUUCUAAUCUUCCUCCGUCGAUUUCAUGGUUAUAACAUCGAUAUACUAUGAAUCUUAUCAAUCUGAAUAUUACUUUGUAAUGAAAUAAGGUAUCGAGAAGCUUUAAAGAGGCGAUCUUGGCUUGAUCCGUUGUCUACGAUCUUCUACGAGCUCAUACGCGCAAUUAAGGUAUGUUAAGUCUAUCCCUUCUUUCUUUUUGGCAUGAUCCAAGUGAUGCAAACGAAACGAGCAAAAUACGCAACUCUCAUAAAUGACUCUAUUCAUAAAAAUACCAGGGGUGUCUAUAUUCUUGAUUCCACAUGUGAAUUAUUAUUAUAUCCUCUGUUCAUGGGUCUCAGAAAAAUAUGUAUUUGAUAAAGUUUGUCCGAAAGACAUAUUGAUUUUAUAAUAGUCGAGAAAUCUUAUUAAUGUAUUUCUUAUGCAUUUCAUGCAUUUAUACGUGUACAUUGACCCAUGACCAGAAAGCGUUAUAUACGCGCAUAUUAUAUGUAUAUGGGAUAUGGGAAAAGGUUACGACGUUAUAUACGCACCACCACCUGAUCAGCUGGUAUAUGUUGAUGAUUUGCCCACAGUGGCCGAGAUGAUAUGAUGGGAUGCCCUCAGAGGCUUGAUGAUGUUAUGUACGCAUAU
rnacentral:lncRNA from 1 species